AUCUGUUGGGGUGCUUUGGUUUAACCAGUUGGUUGAUGCCAAGGCUGAGAAGCGAAAGCUAACUCAUGGAACCUGAUCCAGUUAAAACUGGCGUAGGGAACGGAG
rnacentral:ncRNA from 1 species